AGAGUUUGAUCAUGGCUCAGGAUGAACGCUGGCGGCGUGCCUAACACAUGCAAGUCGAACGGAAAACACUUUCGGGUGUUUUGAGUGGCGCACGGGUGCGUAACACGUAGCUGAUCUGCCCCGGAAACUGGAAUAACGUACCGAAAGGUAUGCUAAUACCGGAUACGCUCAUGAGAACUAGAGGCUCAUGAGGAAAGGGGAAACCCGUUCUGGGAGGAGGCUGCGGCCCAUCAGGUAGUUGGUGCGGUAAAAGCGCACCAAGCCGACGACGGGUCGGGGGUCUGAGAGGAUGACCCCCCACACUGGGACUGAGACACGGCCCAGACUCCUACGGGAGGCAGCAGUGAGGGAUCUUGCGCAAUGGGGGAAACCCUGACGCAGCGACGCCGCGUGGGCGAUGAAGGCUUUCGGGUCGUAAAGCCCUUUUCCCACUGACGAGACAAGGACGGUAGGUGGGGAAUAAGUCUCGGCUAACUACGUGCCAGCAGCCGCGGUAAAACGUAGGAGGCGAGCGUUAUCCGGAGUUACUGGGCGUAAAGCGCGUGCAGGCGGCAGGACAAGUGGCGGGUGAAAGCGUUCGGCUCAACCGAGCGAGUGCCGGUCAGACUGUCGUGCUGGAGUACCGGCGAGGGACGUGGAAUUCCGGGUGUAGCGGUGAAAUGUGCAGAGAUCCGGAGGAACACCAGCGGCGCAAGCGGCGUCCUGGACGGAAACUGACGCUGAGACGCGACAGCGUGGGGAGCGAACGGGAUUAGAGACCCCGGUAGUCCACGCCGUAAACGAUGCCAACUCGAUGUCGGGGUGGCGAAAGCCAUUUCGGUGUCAUAGUUCACGCGAUAAGUUGGCCGCCUGGGGAGUACGGUCGCAAGGCUAAACUCAAUGAAUUGACGG
rnacentral:rRNA from 1 species